ensembl:lncRNA
CAAGAUGACUUCAUACACGUGGAUUUUACUCAUUCUGGCAAGUCUUGUGGCAACAAAAGCGCAAGAUUUUGACCUCAGUGAUGCUUUUUAUGAGGCUGACAAGCCCCCUCCGAAGCCAACAGUGAAACCAGCCCCACCGAAAAACCCAGAUUCAGGUAGCCUUUAACAUUAUGCUCAAGCAUAUUUUAGUUGGUAUAUUUAAUAGUUGUAUUGAUUGAGUUAGACACAUGGAAGUAUAUGCAGAGACUUAUUUAACAUGGUUUUGCCUUUCUCUUGUAGGAUUUGAUAUUUCAGAUGCCUUCAAUUUGGAUAAAAAUAAACCAUCUGGAGUUGACCUCGAUCUGUCUAUUGCAUUUGCUCCAGAUUUGGACCUCACUGAUGUUUUGGAUGAUACUGACAAGCAUAAAAAUAAACCAUCUGGAGGUAAGAUAUACAUAUGCAUACACAUCAUUGUAGGUCCAUUCUGUUUCUACUUUAAAUCAAGUGUUACUUUAUUUUUGUACAGUAAUCAACUUACCAUUGCAAAAAAUAACAUGAUGAUUUUAUUCUCAGUUGACCUCGAUCGGUCUAUUGCAUUUGAUACAGAUUUGGACCUCGCUGAUGUUUUGGAUGGUGCUGACAAGCAGGGUAGGGGAGCACAGGGUGGUGAGGAGACUCUCAGCGCAGAGUCUGCAGCGGCUAUGGAGUGUCAGAAGGUCCACAGCAUGAGUGCACCCCGACCGCAUGGCACGGGUGGAAGUGGCCACGUGCUGACUGAGGGUGUCCUUCAGACACAGAGAGAUACAACUGAUGCAAUUACAGUCAUAGCAGAUGAGCUUAAGCAAAUAAAGGUUGUGUUGUGUGACAUUGCAUCUACAUUAAAAGAUCUUGUUAAAAAAUGA